GGCAGCGCUCCGGGCCCCGCCACGUGCGCGAAGUGCCGGCGGGGCGUCCUCCGGAGGGGGAGCGGCUCCGUGAAGGGCGGCGAUCCCGUGGGCUGGGGAGGAACGCGCGGGGAAACGCCGCGUCCGUCUUCGGGCAGCAGCGAGCGGAGCGGGAACGGAGCGCUCCGGUGUCGCCGCUCGGCCCCUUUCCGGCAACGGCCCCGAGCUGGGAGCCAGAGCGGGCGCAGUGCUGAACUACCGGCGGGGAUGGGGCGACGGGGCGCCCAGCUGACAUCCCCCAGAGCUCUGCCGGGCCGGGCCGCCGCCGUUCCGCUGCCCGGGGGCAGCCUGCUCGAGCUGCUCCUCACUGCCC
ensembl:lncRNA